GUUAAACACCAGUUCUCAUACAAUCACCGAACUUAAACCACAUUGGAUUUGAUCAGUACCUAAGUGGGUGACCGCUUGGGAAUAUCAGGUGCUGUAAG